rnacentral:lncRNA from 1 species
UUAAAAUUAGCUCCAGAAUACACCACCUUUUAAUUUAGUUGCAAUUUGCACAUGCGUUGACCAGUACCUUGAUCGGUGUUGACGUGGCGCUCGGAAUUUUCAGACGUGGACUCACCGGCAUUCAAAACGACGUCGUUUUGAGUGAGUAUAAAUAAAAAAAUUAAAAAAAACACAAAAAAAAGAGAGAAAUCUUUUCUAGUUCUUCCUCACCGGCCUUUUCUGCUCUCUCUCUCUACGCAGAUGGCCUCACAACGGUGGUUAUGGUGGACGGUGGUGGUGGUUAUUUGGAAAUCUGGAGAUCUGCAAAUCUG